UACGGAGGGUGCAAACGUUGCUCGGAAUCAUUGGGCGUAAAGCGCACGUAGGCGGCCUGUUAAGUCGGAUGUGAAAGCCCCGGGCUCAACCCGGGAAGUGCAUUCGAAACUGGCGGGCUUGAAUAUGGAAGAGGGUCGCGGAAUUCCCGGUGUAGAGGUGAAAUUCGUAGAUAUCGGGAGGAACACCAGUGGCGAAGGCGGCGACCUGGGCCAA
rnacentral:rRNA from 1 species